rnacentral:rRNA from 1 species
AGGCGACGACGGGUAGCCGGCCUGAGAGGGCGACCGGCCACACUGGGACUGAGACACGGCCCAGACUCCUACGGGAGGCAGCAGUGGGGAAUAUUGCACAAUGGGCGAAAGCCUGAUGCAGCGACGCCGCGUGAGGGAUGACGGCCUUCGGGUUGUAAACCUCUUUCAGCAGGGAAGAAGCGAAAGUGACGGUACCUGCAGAAGAAGCGCCGGCUAACUACGUGCCAGCAGCCGCGGUAAUACGUAGGGCGCGAGCGUUGUCCGGAAUUAUUGGGCGUAAAGAGCUCGUAGGCGGCUUGUCACGUCGGAUGUGAAAGCCCGGGGCUUAACCCCGGGUCUGCAUUCGAUACGGGCAGACUAGAGUUCGGUAGGGGAGAUCGGAAUUCCUGGUGUAGCGGUGAAAUGCGCAGAUAUCAGGAGGAACACCGGUGGCGAAGGCGGAUCUCUGGGCCAUUACUGACGCUGAGGAGCGAAAGCGUGGGGAGCGAACAGGAUUAGAUACCCUGGUAGUCCACGCCGUAAACGGUGGGCACUAGGUGUUGGCGACAUUCCACGUGGUCCGUGCCGCAGCUAACGCAUUAAGUGCCCCGCCUGGGGAGUACGGCCGCAAGGCUAAAACUCAAAGAAAUCACCGGGGUCCCCCACAACCGGCGCAACAGGUGGAUUAAUUGGACGCAACGGGAAGAACCUUACCAAGCUUUGCCAUACACCGGAAACCCCUGAAAUCAGGGUCCCCCUGGUGGUCGGUGUCCAGGUGGCCCAUGGCUGUCGUCAGUUGUUGUCGUGAGAUGUUGGGUUAAUUCCCGCAUCGAGCCCAACCCUUGUCCCGUGUUGCCAGCAGGCCCUUGGGGUGCUGGGGACUCACGGGAGACCGCCGGGGUCAACUCGGAGGAAGGUGGGGACGACGUCAAGUCAUCAUGCCCCUUAUGUCUUGGGCUGCACACGUGCUACAAUGGCCGGUACAAAGAGCUGCGAUACCGUGAGGUGGAGCGAAUCUCAAAAAGCCGGUCUCAGUUCGGAUUGGGGUCUGCAACUCGACCCCAUGAAGUCGGAGUCGCUAGUAAUCGCAGAUCAGCAUUGCUGCGGGGAAUACGUUCCCGGGCCUUGUACACACCGCCCGUCACGUCACGAAAGUCGGUAACACCCGAAG